GGGCCCGCACAAGCGGUGGAGCAUGUGGUUUAAUUCGAUGAUACGCGAGGAACCUUACCAGGGCUUAAAUGUAACGGGACAGAUCUAGAGAUAGAUCCUUCUUCGGACUCAUUACAAGGUGCUGCAUGGUUGUCGUCAGCUCGUGCCGUGAGGUGUCAGGUUAAGUCCUAUAACGAGCGCAACCCCCAUCGUUAGUUGCCAACGAGUAAUGUCGGGAACUCUAACGAAACUGCCGGUGCAAACCGUGAGGAAGGUGGGGAUGACGUCAAAUCAUCACGGCCCUUACGUCCUGGGCUACACACGUGCUACAAUGGUCGGUACAGAGAGCAGCCACUACGCGAGUAGGAGCAAAUCUUCAAAGCCGAUCUCAGUUCGGAUUGAAGUCUGCAACUCGACUUCAUGAAGUUGGAAUCGCUAGUAAUCGGAUAUC
rnacentral:rRNA from 1 species